GUUCAUGCGUUCCUCUUUCCUCUUCCAUUUCGUUUGUGUCUGUUCAUCGUAGAAAAGCAUAUUGGAUCUUAUCAAAAGAAUCCUCUAGUUUUUUCCAAACUAGAGUUCUUUUAAAGUUCCAAAAAUGAGAGCGAAGUGGCGUAAGAAGCGUAUGCGAAGGCUAAAACGUAAGCGCAGGAAGAUGCGUGCGAGGUCCAAGUAGAUUUUAUCCACAUGAAUUCCGUUUCGUUCAACAUUUUCCAUCGGAAGAUCUUGGAGGAUAUGGAAUUAUACAGAAAAUGGAAAAUUUGUCCGUUGACUUCCAGGUUUUUUUAAUAAAUGACGUGGUUAAAUCAUUGUGACAGACCAAAAAAACAAUAAAAUGUUAAAAAAAA